rnacentral:lncRNA from 1 species
GCCAAAAAUUAUGAAAUUAGCUAUUGGCUAAAGUCUUCCAAAAUUUUCUUAAGGGGUAUUUUAGAUAAAAAAAAAUAUCUUGGGAUUCCAACUCCCAUUCGAAUUUUGGAGUAUCACUAACAGAACUGGAAAUCUGUGCUGUAAUUUAUUAAAAUUAGUUGAAAACUGAUGAAAACAUUUUACUAAACAAAUUUAACACUCCACACCCA